UACGUAGCUCAGUUGGUUAGAGCACAUGACUGUUAAUCAUGGGGUCACAGGUUCGAGUCCUGUUGUGGG
rnacentral:tRNA from 1 species